UGCCAGCAGCCGCGGUAACACGGGGGGCGCAAGCGUUAUUCGGAAUUACUGGGCGUAAAGCGCACGUAGGCGGACUAUUAAGUCAGGGGUGAAAUCCCGGGGCUCAACCCCGGAACUGCCUCUGAUACUGGUAGUCUUGAGUUCGAGAGAGGUGAGUGGAAUUCCGAGUGUAGAGGUGAAAUUCGUAGAUAUUCGGAGGAACACCAGUGGCGAAGGCGGCUCACUGGCUCGAUACUGACGCUGAGGUGCGAAAGCGUGGGGAGCAAACAGGAUUAGAUA
rnacentral:rRNA from 1 species